CUGACCAUUGAAGAACAGCAUGAAACAAAGCAUGCAGAGAAACAGAUGGACUACAGUCAGUAAUUGCAGAACUACAAAGUGCUUCUAUAUGUGAUGCCAACCAAAACUAAGUUAUGGAGUAGACUGGACAUAAGGAACACACUUCAGGUGGGAGCAUCUUGUUGCAGUGAAAAAAGCUCAGGGUUGCCACUGAUUUUCCAUCACUGUGCCUCACUAUUGAAGAUAUGCAGCCAACCAAGCAUGAACUCCCAGUUCAUGCUCAGCAGGAGACCUGUCUAACUGAGUUACCUCUGCAAGUCCAGCACGCUGGUGGUUCUGACGGAAACCUGUUUACCCUCUCGAGGUUAAAGACUGCAAGUCGAGACUACAGUGCCAGCAAUGCUGCUCCUACUAGAUGAGAUGGAGCCCCUGGCAUGUUUGCACCAAAAAUGUCCAGAACGUACAACAGACUUUAUCACAGACUGGACUGAACAAAGAAG